rnacentral:rRNA from 1 species
CCUACGGGAGGCAGCAGGGAGGAAUAUUGGACAAUGGGCGCGAGCCGGAACCAGCCAAGUAGCGUGAAGGAUGACGGCCCUAGGGGUGGUAAACUUCUUUUAUAGGGGAAUAAAGUGCAGUAUGUAUACUGCUUUGCAUGUACCUUAUGAAUAAGGAUCGGCUAACUCCGUGCAAGCAGCCGCGGUAAUACGGAGGAUCCGAGCGUUAUCCGGAUUUAGUGGGUUUAAAGGGAGCGUAGGCGGGUUUUUAAGUCAGUUGUGAAAGUUUGCGGCUCAACCGUAAAAUUGCAGUUGAAACUGGCAUCCUUGAGUACAGUAGAGGUAGGCGGAAUUCGUGGUGUAGCGGUGACAUGCUUAGAUAUCACGCAGAACUCCGAUUGCGAAGGCAGCCUGCUGGACUGUAACUGACGCUGAUGCUCGAAAGUGUGGGUAUCAAACAGGAUUAGAUACCCUUGUAGUC